GGGUGAAUUUGGCAAGAGCCUUGAUUUACAAUCCUGGCCCACACCAUCUCCGGUCUUUGACAUCUCUUGUGCACGGGUGAAUUUGCGUUGAGGCGGAUUACAAAUUCGGUUGGAGGGUGGAUUUAUAACGAUAGGGGUACCCCUUGUCGUUGGCUAAUCCGGGUGUUUUGGGACGAUUUUGCCUUCACAAAUCUAGGUGAGGUGUCUUCCUCUAUGUAACAAGAAGAAGAAGAAGAAGAGAGAGAGAGAGAGAGAGAGAGAGAGAGAGAAGUAAUGUUCGUUUCUGGAGAAGUGGAUGGAGAGAGGUAGAAGUUGUAGUGAUGAUCGGAGCAAGAGACUGACUGCCGAAGUGGUGAUGAUUGACGGCGGCGACGGCAACAGCGGACGGAGAAGACGAGGCGUUGCAGAGGAUGGGUUUUUUUUUUUGUGGAAGAACAGAAGGAAAAGAAUGGGGUUGAAAGGGGCGUGGGUGGGUUUUGUACUGUUCUAGACUUCUAGUAGAUCUAUAUUGACAUAUACAUAUACAUAUAUACACGUUAUUUAAGUAUUUUUUUAAUAAAUUAUGUUUUACUUUUAAUUUGUUUCAGA